rnacentral:rRNA from 1 species
UACGGGGGGGGGCAAGCGUUGUUCGGAAUUACUGGGCGUAAAGGGCUCGUAGGCUGCCAACUAAGUCAGACGUGAAAUCCCUCGGCUUAACCGGGGAACUGCGUCUGAUACUGGAUGGCUUGAGAUUGGGAGAGGGAUGCGGAAUUCCAGGUGUAGCGGUGAAAUGCGUAGAUAUCUGGAGGAACACCGGUGGCGAAGGCGGCAUCCUGGACCAACACUGACGCUGAUGAGCGAAAGCCAGGGGAGCAAACGGG